CUCAGCGACUGCGAACGAGAACAGGCGAGAAAAAAACUGCAGUCGGUCGGCAUUGUUUUCAGUUUGUUGACAUUUUGUUUGCCAGUGAAGAGGCACAGAAAAGUCACGGCAACAAAUAUGGCCAACAGGAUCGGAUUCCUUUUUCCCAACUGCGCAAAGGUAGCAAAAAUGUAUCUCCCAACGGGUACCGUGCAUCGGAGCGAAUAAGAGGACUCAUCUGAUUUAAUAAUCCGUCAACUAAGGAUCCGGGUUUUCCUGGACCACCAUUUACUUCGGAUGUGAAGCCGGCACCAAAUUUGAAAAAUUAAAUUGCGCAGACAAAAUCUUCGGUGGAUUCGAGCGCACCUCAACUGCUGGGACUGCGAAAAAACAAUAUUUGCUGGAACAGGUAUGGCCCGAAUAGAGGCCCAGAAAGUGCGUAUGGAAAAACAUAAUUAUUAACGGAUUCACAAAAGAGAAAUGUCGGGUACGUAUUCAAAAGGAGAUAUGUGACUUUGUAAACAAAUAUUCAAACGUCCCUUUGUCCAAUCUGACAAACCGUUACCACACACGGUAGGGGGAGGCUUCGGCUACCUGUUGUUGGUGUUGGUUGGCAUGGGAGUGCCAUAAUCGUAGUUUGAAUCUUUGUUAACAAAAUAACGUACCUAUGUCGUUUUGAAUAAGUACCCAGGAAAUAUUGUCAUUGGCCAGAGCAUCUGAUGAGAAUAGGGUAAUAGCUAAAUGCCAACAGGAGCUCCAAAUUGUCAAAUACCCAACAUGUUCGGGAAGAAGAACAAAUGAAACCGAUGCGAAUUUAAUUUAAAAUAUAAAAUUUAAGAAUAAAAAUUGGAAAUUCAAAAAUUAAAAUUUUA